CUCGGAGGCGAUGAAGGACGUGAUAAGCUGCGAUAAGCUGCGGGUAGGUGCAAAUAACCUUUGAUCCGCAGAUUUCCGAAUGGGGCAACCCAAUACAUUGAAGAUGUAUUAUACCUUCGGGUAAGCAAACGCAGGGAACUGAAACAUCUAAGUACCUGUAGGAAAAUAAAACAACAGUGAUUCCCCCAGUAGUGGCGAGCGACCGGGGAACAGCCCAAACCACGAUUGUUUCGGCAUUUGUGGGGUAGUAGGACUGCGAUAUUGUAGUAAUAAACGAAAUGGAACGUUUUGGAAAAAGCGAUCAUAGAGGGUGAUAGUCCCGUACAUAUAAGUUUAUGAUACAUAGCAGAAUCCUGAGUAAGGCGGGACACGAGAAAUCCUGUCUGAAUCAGCCGGGCCCAUCCGGCAAGGCUAAAUACUAGUGAGAGACCGAUAGUGAACCAGUACUGUGAAGGAAAGGUGAAAAGAACCCCGAACAGGGGAGUGCAAUAGUCCCUGAACCCAUUCGCUUACAAGCUGUCGGAGCCCUUUUUGGGGUGACGGCGUGCCUUUUGCAUAAUGAGCCUACGAGUUACUCGUCUCUGGCGAGGUUAAGUACGUAAACGUACGUGAGCCGAAGCGAAAGCAAGUCCUAAACAGGCGACUAGUCAGAGGCGGUAGACGCGAAACCUUAGUGAUCUACCCAUGAGCAGGUUGAAGGUUUGGUAACACAAACUGGAGGACCGAACCGAUAAGCGUUGAAAAGCUUCCGGAUGACUUGUGGGUAGGGGUGAAAGGCCAAUCAAACUGGGAAAUAGCUCGUACUCUCCGAAAUGCAUUUCGGUGCAGCCUGUGAUGUUCUGUUCCAGAGGUAGAGCUACUGGUUGGACGCGAGGGCUUCACCGCCUAUCAAAUCCGGAUAAACUCCGAAUGCUGGAACACGAAAUCAUGGAGUGAGCCCGCGGGUGCUAAGGUCCGCGGACGAGAGGGAAAGAACCCGGACCACCGGCUAAGGUCCCGGAUGGACAGUUAAGUUGAUCAAACGAGGUGGGAUCGCUGAGACAGCUAGGAUGUUGGCUUGGAAGCAGCCAUUCAUUUAAAGAGUGCGUAACAGCUCACUAGUCGAGCGGUCCUGCAUGGAUAAUACGCGGGCAUAAGCAUAUAACCGAAGCUAUGGGAUUGUAGAUGAUACAAUCGGUAGGAGAGCAUUCCAUUCAGCAUAGAAGCAGUAUCGUGAGGUAUUGUGGAGCGGAUGGAAAAGCAAAUGUAGGCAUAAGUAACGAUAAUGCGGGUGAGAACCCCGCACGCCGAAAGGUCAAGGAUUCCCCGGCAAUGUCAAUCAACCGGGGGUAAGUCGGGUCCUAAGUCGAAGCCGAAGGGCGUAGACGAUGGCCAACAGGUUAAUAUUCCUGUACUCAUAUAUGCUGCGAUGCAGGGACGUAGUAGUGACACCGCUGCGUACAGACGAAAUAGUACGUUGAAGCCUUUAUCUGUCGAUGCUGAUAGUUAAGUACGUCAGCAGAGGAGAUGGGUGAUAGUACCGCAAGGCUUCGGCUGCGCGGAUAAUGCGGGUAAUCAGACUACCAAGAAAAUCUGCUAAGCUUCAGGCAUAUAUGACCCGUACUGUAAACGGACACACGUGACCGGGUAGAGAAUACUAAGGCGCUCGAGAUAUUCAUGGCUAAGGAACUAGGCAAAAUGGUCCUGUAACUUCGGGAUAAAGGACGCUGGGGUAAAAUCCAGCCGCAGUAAAAUGGCCCAGGCGACUGUUUACCAAAAACACAUGGCUAUGCUAAAUCGUAAGAUGAUGUAUAUGGCCUGACACCUGCCCGGUGCUGGAAGGUUAAGAGGAGGGUUUAGUAGCAAUACGACGAUCUGAAUUGAAGCCCCAGUAAACGGCGGCCGUAACUAUAACGGUCCUAAGGUAGCGAAAUUCCUUGUCGGGUAAGUUCCGACCUGCACGAAUGGUGUAACGAUCUGGGUACUGUCUCAGCCAUGUUCUCGGUGAAAUUGUAGUUCCGGUGAAGAUGCCGGAUACCCGCAACGGGACGGAAAGACCCCGUGAACCUUUACUGCAGCUUUGCAUUGAUUUUGGGUAAGUGAUGUGUAGGAUAGGUCGGAGGCAUUGAAAUGGCAUCGUCAGGUGUCAUGGAGCCGCUGUUGAAAUACGACCCUUUACUUAUCUGAGGUCUAAUCUCCUUAGUGGAGAGACAUUGCAUGGUGGGUAGUUUGACUGGGGUGGUCGCCUCCAAAAGCGUAACGGAGGCUUCUCAAGGUACCCUCAUGGCGUUUGGUAAUCGCCAGUAGAGUGCAAUGGCAUAAGGGUGCUUGACUGUGAGACCUACAAGUCGAUCAGGUUGGAAACAAGAGCAUAGUGAUCCGGUGGUUCCGCAUGGAAGGGCCAUCGCUCAAAGGAUAAAAGGUACUCCGGGGAUAACAGGCUGAUCGCUCCCAA
rnacentral:rRNA from 1 species